AGAGUUUGAUCCUGGCUCAGAAGCGAACGCUGGCGGCGUACCUUUCGGAAGGGAAGUCGAACGGGGAGUUUGCGGGUAGCAAUACUCUCGAGCUUCUAGUGGCGCACGGGUGAGUAACACGUGAGUGACCUGCCCUUGGGUCCGGGAUACCUCUUCGAAAGGAGAGCUAAUACCGGGUACGGUCUUCUGGCUGCGAGGCUGGGAGAGGAAAGGCCGUGGCAACACGGUCGCCGAAGGAGGGGCUCGCGGCCUAUCAGCUAGUUGGGGGGGUAAUGGCCCACCAAGGCGAUGACGGGUAGCUGGUCUGAGAGGACGACCAGCCACACGGGGACUGAGACACGGCCCCGACUCCUACGGGAGGCAGCAGUGGGGAAUUUUCCGCAAUGGGCGCAAGCCUGACGGAGUGACGCCGCGUGGGGGACGAAGGCCUUCGGGUCGUAAACCCCUGUCAGAGGGAAAGAAGGGCCGAGGAGUGAACUCCUGGGUCUGACGGUACCCACAGAGGAAGCCCCGGCCAACUCUGUGCCAGCAGCCGCGGUAAAGACAGAGGGGGCAAGCGUUGCUCGGAAUCACUGGGCGUAAAGGGCGCGUACGCGGGAGGCCAAGUCGGUCGUGAAAUCUCCGGGCUCAACCCGGAGGAGUCGGCCGAAAACUGGUUUUCUUGAGGGAGGCAGAGGAGUCUGGAAUU
rnacentral:rRNA from 1 species